UAGAAGAAAGAUGAAAAUACGAAAGAAAUAAAAAAAGGGGGGAGAAAAUAUAGAACGUGUGGGUAGUGUGUUUGUUUCUAGUGCGAGAGAGGCUGAGGAAUUAAAUAGAGAAAGAGAAAGAGAGAAAGAGAGAAGGAGAGGGAGAAUAAAGGGAAAAUGGUGGGGGAUGAUUCUUUAACUGCAAUGAUGUUAAAAAUAGGUAGUACGCACGGACGGCGCCAUAUUUUCAGAAAUAAGUUCUCCGGUUACAGAGUCUAUUUCCGGUCUGGGACGGCGAACCGCGCUAUAGUUCGUUCAAUCGUGUUUGGCGCUAUCUUGCGGACGAUGUUUCCAAGAAAUAGAACUAAAUUCUAGUCAUCCGAAUAACCACGCAAUGUACACUCAACGCUGAUGAGUCUACAUUUACUGAACAAUCAACUACCCUACAAUCUAAAUUCGCUCGCCAGAUUUCAAUCCUAAUUUAAAUACCAAACCAACUAUCCCAAAAGAAGUCAAAAGAAGCCAAAAAGACACAGGGCAAGAGUGCAUGAAAAAGAGUACGAAAGGAAUGUAAAAAAAAGAGAGAGAGAGAAAGAGAGAGAGAAAGAGAGAGAGAGAAAGAGAUAGUUUAAAUACAGAAUCGGAUCGCGUCAAAUUGACGGGGAUGAGGAUAAAAGUGCGUUAAAGGGUCGAUUUAUGAGCUCGAGACAGCGUAGGAAGCGCUAGCAAGCACGAGCCUUCGCCCUAAUAAAUAACCAGGCUGCCUGGUUGCCUAGCUGGCUGGUUGGUUGGUUGGUUGGCUGGUUGGCUGACUGGUUGGCUGACUGGCUGGCUGGCUCGUAUAAGGGUGGAUGGGAUGUAGAAGGGAAGAGGGUGAACGCGAUCAUCCCAGCUAUGCGCUAUGCGAAAAGGGGGUAGAAGAGGAGGAGGGAGGAGAGGGAGGACUGAGGAAGGAGACUACUACUACUACUACCAYCCUCUCUUGGUAUGGCUAUUCACCAUGAAAACGUGCGAGAGAGGACUUGCGUUCUCGUUAUUGUAGCGAUUUGAAUUGGCCGCCAACGUUGUCCUCAUCCUCAUCGUCGUCGUCAUCGUCGUUCGUCGUCGUCGUCCUCGACUGUUACUACUGUUAGUGCUGCUGACGACGAACCGUACCUCUCUAGGUCCAGUUCCAUUGUCGCGAAUAAUUCUACGAUAUCGUCGGAUUAAACGAUCAUGAGAGAAAGAGGAAGAUAGAGGGAGAAAAGUAAAGGGUAGGGGGAGGAGAAAUGAGAGGAAGAGGUAAUCGUUGUAGCAAGAAUUCGCAGCGUUCGUGCUUUAAAUCGCUCGACACCGAUUUUCACGCUCUUUUAUUCCUCGACCCCUGUCCACUUUUUCUAUCUAUCUCUCUCUUUUUUUUUCUGUGUUAUCCGAAAAAAUUAAAAUUCGACUCUGGUAUUACCAACGACGACGAUCGUUAUUCAACCCGUUUUUUUUCUUUUUUCUUCUUUUUUUGAGUACAUUUUUUUUCUUUCUUUUCCUUCACUUCCUAUUUAAAAUAAUAAUAGUCAAACGAUGCGGUUAAUAAUUAGGGGUAGUUUUGUGAAUAAAUGUGCUGA